GACUGAGCGGCGGACGGGUGAGUAACGCGUGAGUAACCUGCCUCAUACAGGGGAAUAACAGUUAGAAAUGACUGCUAAUGCCGCAUAAGCGCACAGGGCCACAUGGCCUGGUGUGAAAAACUCCGGUGGUAUGAGAUGGACUCGCGUCUGAUUAGCUGGUUGGUGAGGUAACGGCCCACCAAGGCGACGAUCAGUAGCCGGCCUGAGAGGGUGAACGGCCACAUUGGGACUGAGACACGGCCCAAACUCC
rnacentral:rRNA from 1 species